rnacentral:rRNA from 1 species
AGUUUGAUCCUGGCUCAGGACGAACGCUGGCGGCGUGCUUAACACAUGCAAGUCGAACGAGAAGAGAUGAGAAGCUUGCUUCUUAUUGAUUCGAGUGGCAAACGGGUGAGUAACGCGUAAGCAACCUGCCCUCUAGAUGGGGACAACAGCUGGAAACGGCUGCUAAUACCGAAUACGUUCUUUCUGUCGCAUGGCAGAGGGAAGAAAGGGAGGCUCUUCGGAGCUUUCGCUGGAGGAGGGGCUUGCGUCUGAUUAGCUAGUUGAAGGGGUAACGGCCCACCAAGGCGACGAUCAGUAGCCGGUCUGAGAGGAUGAACGGCCACAUUGGGACUGAGACACGGCCCAGACUCCUACGGGAGGCAGCAGUGGGGAAUCUUCCGCAAUGGACGAAAGUCUGACGGAGCAACGCCGCGUGAACGAUGACGGCCUUCGGGUUGUAAAGUUCUGUUAUACGGGACGAAUGGUACGACGGUCAAUACCCGUCGUAAGUGACGGUACCGUAAGAGAAAGCCACGGCUAACUACGUGCCAGCAGCCGCGGUAAUACGUAGGUGGCAAGCGUUGUCCGGAAUUAUUGGGCGUAAAGGGCGCGCAGGCGGCGUCGUAAGUCGGUCUUAAAAGUGCGGGGCUUAACCCCGUGAGGGGACCGAAACUGCGAUGCUAGAGUAUCGGAGAGGAAAGCGGAAUUCCUAGUGUAGCGGUGAAAUGCGUAGAUAUUAGGAGGAACACCAGUGGCGAAAGCGGCUUUCUGGACGACAACUGACGCUGAGGCGCGAAAGCCAGGGGAGCAAACAGGAUUAGAUACCCUGGUAGUCCACGCCGUAAACGAUGAGUGCUAGGUGUUGGCCAGAGAUGGUCGGUGCCGCAGCAAACGCAAUAAGCACUCCACCUGGGGAGUACGACCGCAAGGUUGAAACUCAAAGGAAUUGAC